rnacentral:misc_RNA from 1 species
AACGCACGAGACCUGCGGACCUGCGGAGGGAUCAUUAAUGAGAAGCUGCCCCUCGUGGGUAGACCUCCCACCCCCUGUGAACUUACCUUUGUUGCUUUGGCAGGCCCGUCCUCUGGACCGCCGGCUUCGGCUGGCCCGUGCCUGCCAGAGGAUUCCAAACCCUGUCUGUCAGUGUUGUCUGAGUCUAUAUGAAAUCGUUAAAACUUUUAGCAACGGAUCUCUAGAUCGGAAGAGCACACG